rnacentral:piRNA from 1 species
UAUGUUAACAUAGGCAUGACCCAACCAU